AUUACAUCUUCCUUGAAGGCCAUAUAUGAAAUAAAUGCUGCGAACCGCAGCAAACUCCCCACGACGCAUUGUGGUGGAUCAAGGCUAUUCGUAAAUCAUCGCCAGCGUGAUCCCGAGACUGGUGCAGAGGAGCCGCAGCCGGAUUUGUAUCAGAGAACACACCAACGGCGAUCGGGGGAGUGGUGCGAGGGUGCGCAUGACUGACAUGCACAGAUGGUCGAGCUGAGGGAUGCACUUGUUUCAGAGGGGAGUCAGCACAUGAAAGAUUUCGAGAUCACUUCCCAAGUGCUUGGGCAACGAGCAGAGGGUUGGG